rnacentral:lncRNA from 1 species
AGCAACAGGCUUUGGUGGUGGGGGAGGUGGGGGUAAAGGGAAAAGUGCUGUGUAUGGCUUUUCAUAUGUUAAUAAGUUGAUUCCAUGACAACCAUUGAAAAAGAAGGGCUCGAAACAAAAGCCGCUGCGAGAGAGGAUCAGUGCUCUUUCAUGGGCGCUGUAAGAAUAACAGCCGAGACUCCCUCCGCUGAAAGGUCUUGGAUGGAUGAUUUUACUACUAAAAAGCUGCAUUACAAGUCUUGACAACUAAACUCCAGUAGAAAAAAGAAAAAGGUGAUGGGGAAAGCCUCACUGAUUGGUGAUCACUUGGUGGCAUCACUGGAUUUGUGUUUAAGAAAACAACUUUAAGGACUCAGUGCUGCAUGGACAAGUCAGAAGAAGCUGGAAGCAGGGAAAUAUUUUAAGCAAUAGGUUAGUUAUGAGCUUUUGGUUGCAAAGGAUAGAAAUCUAAAUUGAUCUAGUUUGAGCAAAAUAGAAAGUUGAUUGGAUCCUAUAACUAAGUGAAGAUGUAAAAUAGGCUUUAAAAAUGACUGUAAGAAUCAAUGACCUGAGCACUAUUUGGAUUUUCUUUUUCUAUCUCUUGUCUUUAGUUUUUCCUGUGUCAGCUUCCUUCUCUCAUGUGAAAUUCUUUAUUAGGCUUGAUUUGUGACUACAAGCGGCUCUCUUCAGGGAGUUUCAAUAAUCUUGUAUAAAGGCAAAGUUGGCUAGUUGGGUCAUGUGCUCAUCUAUGGACAAAUCACUCGGGCAUGUGAUGGGGUAUUUUGACAGGCUUGGAGCUUACCUGCCUAUCUAAUGCCUACUUCUUAUUGAGAACAGAACCCUGAGUUUGUUUUGGGAUGUAGUGUGUCCAGCACCGUGCAAUUUAUCAUGAUUAGUUUAAGCCAAGCAUUACAAUUUUAUUCUAUAUUUUCUUCAAUUUUUAUGUUUGCAUGUGUGUAUUUUGCAACUGAAGAUAUCCUU